rnacentral:tRNA from 17 species
GGGGCCUUAGCUCAGUUGGCAGAGCGCCUGCUUUGCAAGCAGGAUGUCAGGAGUUCGAAUCUCCUAGGCUCCACCA